rnacentral:misc_RNA from 1 species
UCGUGUAAUUCAGUCAUGCUACUGCAUGAGCAAUAUUUAAGCCCACUUUUCGGGCAUUUUCCUGUUGCUUUUAUUUUUCCUAUGCAAGAUAUAUAUAACAUCUCCUUCCACAGAGAUAUAAGUCUUGAAAGGGGAAAAAGAAGGGCCCGUCCGAAGUUUUAAAAAUAGUCUUAAAAGAAUUUUAAAAAAAAAAUCAAUUUAAAA